rnacentral:rRNA from 1 species
UCUAAGUUUGAUGGCGACCGGCGCACGGGUGAGUAACACGUAUCCAACCUGCCGAUGACUCGGGGAUAGCCUUUCGAAAGAAAGAUUAAUACCCGAUGGCAUAGUUCUUCCGCAUGGUGGAACUAUUAAAGAAUUUCGGUCAUCGAUGGGGAUGCGUUCCAUUAGGUUGUUGGCGGGGUAACGGGCCCACCAAGCCUUCGAUGGAUAGGGGUUCUGAGAGGAAGGUCCCCCACAUUGGAACUGAGACACGGUCCAAACUCCUACGGGAGGCAGCAUG